rnacentral:rRNA from 1 species
UACAGAGGGUGCAAGCGUUAAUCGGAAUUACUGGGCGUAAAGCGUGCGCAGGCGGCUUUGCAAGACAGAUGUGAAAUCCCCGGGCUCAACCUGGGAACUGCAUUUGUGACUGUAUAGCUAGAGUACGGUAGAGGGGGAUGGAAUUCCGCGUGUAGCAGUGAAAUGCGUAGAUAUGCGGAGGAACACCGAUGGCGAAGGCAAUCCCCUGGACCUGUACUGACGCUCAUGCACGAAAGCGUGGGGAGCAAACAGG